UACAGAGGUCUCAAGCGUUGUUCGGAAUCACUGGGCGUAAAGGGUGCGUAGGCGGCGUGGUAAGUCAGUUGUGAAAGGCCGGGGCUCAACCCUGGUAUUGCAACCGAUACUGCCGUGCUGGAGUGCUGGAGGGGAGUCUGGAAUUCACGGUGGAGCAGUGAAAUGCGUAGAUAUCGUGAGGAACACCAGUGGCGAAGGCGGCUCUCUGGACCAGCACUGACACUGAGGCACGAAAGCGUGGGGAGCAAACAGG
rnacentral:rRNA from 1 species